AAUGCCUCAGCUUGCUCCUCUGUAGCAUUACAUGUCUUGUGAGCAAGCACUUGGGGACAUUUUUAACAUCCACUGGCACCUGGUAUUUGCCAAGCUUUUUACAUCCACCAACUAUAAUCCUUGAAACAGGCUGUCAAGGAGUUUAACUGUGUACACACCUGACACCUGGAACUGAUGUCCUGGACCAUAGAGUAUGCUGAGAUUAUAGGUGUGUGCCACCACCCACAGCCACUAUCAUGGAUGCUUUAUAUUUACCCUUGUAAGAGAUUCCAGGAGUUUGCAAAUUCUGACAAGGUAUGAUGAAGGCUUCCUGGGUGGUGUCCUACAAAUGGUAGUGAAUACAAUUCUGCUAGCAGUUGUCCUGACUUCCACUUCACAUGGUAUUUAGUAGUGUUUCUCCAGAGUUCUCUAGUUUCUGAAUGUUGCUUGCUACUCCUCCUAUGUUCUCUCUCACAUAGAAUCAUUUUUCAAGCUUUUUGACUACCUUGCAGUCCCCUGCUCUGGUUACAGGAUCAUGCCUCAACUGGAUAUGGUUACACAUCCAUGUCUCUGGUCACUGGCUGCUGGUAAGGAAUGCUCCUCAGGACACUACCAGCUUUCCUGUUCUUCCAGGCUAACAUUUCCUGCUUGCUGGCCCACCUUGCUUGGGUUGGGUACAGAAAUCUCUAGUGGUUUCUGUUGUUACCACUUUGUCCUUCUCUGCUGAGACCUGUUGCCUUUCCUGCUCAUCUGUGCAUUUUAAGAUACAGGGACCAGCAGCCUUUUCCAGCAAUGGUGGCACCAGCGUGCCUCUCCAGGUGCAGAGAUUCGCACUCUGUCCUAUGCUCAGCCCACAUGACUGUUAGUGAAGAAAGCAGAGGAACUGGUAUCAGGGUUGAGAAACUGACUCUCCUACCUCCUUUUUUUUUUGGUACCGGGAAUCAAACUCGAGACCUUGCACUUGUGAGGCAGGCAGCGAAACCACUGAGCUAAAUCCCUGGCCCCCUACCUUCUUUUUUGCUUUUUAUUAGAAGUGUCCAUAAAGUGCUAUUUAUUAUCUAAUGGAGCUUUAUGAAACUCAGUGAAUUAGACCUUUUCUUUCUAAGUUAAUGUACAAUUUUUGCCUUUACUCUAUUGGGAAGAAAAAAAAUCUAAUAAUAGUGGAGAAAGAGCAGAUAGCUGAUGAAGAAAACUCUUAAGAGACAGGAUGGUUAAGGUCCAGAAAAGGUUAAUUUUGAACAAAAGGGAUCUUUCUGAAAGGAGAUUUCCAUUUCAGUUAGGCACAUGAGCGAGAG
rnacentral:lncRNA from 1 species